rnacentral:rRNA from 1 species
AGUGAACGCUGGCGGUAGGCCUAACACAUGCAAGUCGAACGGCAGCACAGUAAGAGCUUGCUCUUACGGGUGGCGAGUGGCGGACGGGUGGGGAAUACAUCGGAAUCUACUUUUUCGUGGGGGAUAACGUAGGGAAACUUACGCUAAUACCGCAUACGACCUACGGGUGGAAGCGGGGGAUCUUCCGACCUUGCGCGAUUGAAUGAGCCGAUGUCGGUUUAGCUAGUUGGCGGGGUAAAGGCCCACCAAGGCGACGAUCCGUAGCUGGUCUGAGAGGAUGAUCAGCCACACUGGAACUGAGACACGGUCCAGACUCCUACGGGAGGCAGCAGUGGGGAAUAUUGGACAAUGGGCGCAAGCCUGAUCCAGCCAUGCCGCGUGGGUGAAGAAGGCCUUCGGGUUGUAAAGCCCUUUUGUUGGGAAAGAAAAGCAGCAGGUUAAUACCCCGCUGUUCUGACGGUACCCAAAGAAUAAGCACCGGCUAACUUCGUG